rnacentral:rRNA from 1 species
UAUCUCUGUAGAGUCUGCAUAUCAAUAAGCGGAGGAAAAGAAACUAACUAGGAUUCCCUCAGUAACGGCGAGUGAAGCGGGAAGAGCUCAAAUUUGAAAUCUUCAAGGUUCUACCUUGACGAAUUGUAGUUUAAAGAAGUGUUUUCUGUUGGAGUUUUGGUAAAAGUUCUUUGGAAUAGGACAUCAUAGAGGGUGAGAAUCCCGUAUUUGACCAUUAUUUCCAGCUUUGUGAUACACUUUCAAAGAGUCAGAUUGUUUGGGAAUGCAGUCCAAAAUGGGUGGUAAAUUUCAUCUAAAGCUAAAUAUUGGCGAGAGACCGAUAGCGAACAAGUACCGUGAGGGAAAGAUGAAAAGAACUUUGAAAAGAGAGUUAAACAGUACGUGAAAUUGUCAAAAGGGAAGCGUUUGACACCAGUGUUGUUUUUCUGAAAAUCAAUUAAAGAACUGUUUAUGCUAAGUUGUUUAGACUUUAUCAGCUAACUGUUUAGUUUUGAGCUUUUCUUUAAUGCACUUUUCAGUUAACAAGUCAACAUCAAUUUCUUUUGCUGUAAAAAAGCUUGAGGAAGGUGGCUUGAGAUUCGUCUUAAGUGUUUAUAGCCUCUUGCCUAUGCAGUCGGAGAGAUUGAGGUCUGCAGCGUAGAUCCUUCGGGGCUAAAUGCAUUUGUGCUAAGUUAUAGCAUUUUAUAGACAACUUGUUGACUAUGAUUUGUCUUGUAGCUUACUCGCUUAUGUUAUUUUACCUACGCUUAGGAUGUUGAAGAUGUAGCACAUCAU